rnacentral:tRNA from 1 species
GGCAGCGUGUCAGAGUGGCUUAAUGAGGCGGUCUUGAAAACCGUUGGCGACUAAUAUUCGCCCGUGGGUUCAAAUCCCACCGCUGCCGCCA